CCAUUAAGGAUGUUUUGUCUUCUUAUCUUACUAAUUUAAUUUAUAUCUUCAUUGGAUUUAAAAGAAAUAAAAAACCAAAUUUAGUUUCGGUGAUAUCAGUUUGAUCGUGGAUCAGCCAUUCUUUUUGAUUCGAGCAAGAUUUUCUAUUUCUUCAAUCAUUUAGUUGAAAGAAAUCUCCAGGUGCAUGUUUUGAUGGACUGUAGAGAAGUGAUGAGAAGAAAGAAAGUCUAACUUUGAGAAUUAAGAAAAUGAGAGGAGAACAUAAAUGGGUUCUUUGAAUAAGAAAGCCAUCAAUGCCUCUACCAAAUUCAAACACACUCUCAAGAAGGAAAAGAGAAGAAAAUAGAAGGCUGAGUCAGCUCGGUCUCCGUUGAAGAUGUUCGUGAUGUCGAGGAUUUUCAAGUAGUUGAUGAGUUUAGACAAGCCUGGUCAUGGACGAGUUGCUACUACCCUCUAAACAUGAUGACUAUGACAUGAUAAUGAGGUUCAUAAAGGCGAGGAAAUUGGACAUUGAGAAAGCAAAGCAAAUAUGGGCUGAUAUGAUCCACUUGGGGAAGGAGUUUGGUACUGAUAUCUCUGCUGGAAAAAGAAGAAGAAGUCUCAGAGGAGAGGAGGGUGCAAGGGAUGUGUCCUCUAACGUUAGAGGAGGUGGCUUUGGUUCUAAAAGCAUUGGGAUUCGACAUAAGUACAUAGAUAUACAUUGCAGCUCGUGAUAUAUACAUCAGAUGUAUCUCAUUUUUAAGAAAACAGCUUGACCACAAGAGAUUCAAGGAGCUACUGGACUUGCAUCACAACAAGCAUGUGGGAUCAGUUUGCAAAAGCUGUCAAAGAAGCUCUUGCGAGAAGAACAGAAACACCAACACAUCGAAGAGUUGUCUUUUUUUUUUUUUUUGAAGUAUCUAAGAGUAAUCUCUGAUAAACCUAAGGAAGAAUAUUACUUUUACGCAAACCUUCGUAAAAAAAUAUAGUAUAAUCUUUGAUAAAUCUCCUUGACACAACAC